GACGAACGCUGGCGGCGUGCUUAAUACAUGCAAGUCGAGCGAGGCCCAUCCAGUGGCAACACUGGGGAAGGCCGAGCGGCGAACGGGUGAGUAACACGUGAGCAACCUGCCCCGAAGUCUGGAAUAACAUCGGGAAACCGGUGCUAAUACCGGAUUGCCCCACCUGACCGCAUGAUCGGGUGAGGAAAGAUCUAUCGCUUCGGGAGGGGCUCGCGGCCUAUCAGCUAGNGGCGGGGUAACGGCCCACCAAGGCGUCGACGGGUAGCUGGUCUGAGAGGACGACCAGCCACACUGGGACUGAGACACGGCCCAGACUCCUACGGGAGGCAGCAGUAGGGAAUCUUGCGCAAUGGGCGAAAGCCUGACGCAGCAACGCCGCGUGGGGAUGACGGCCU
rnacentral:rRNA from 1 species